UUUUAAACCACGUUUUUUCGGUACAACAAACAACGUAGUUUGUAUUUACAUAUUUUUUUAAAUAUUCUACUACAACCAUACGCUGACGGCAACAACUCGCACAUCUCACACUGAGACACAAUUAAAUACAAACAUCGAGUGCUUGUAAAGAGGUCUUUGUAGGAAGCGUCGGUUUUUUCAUAAUCCACCUGUUCCCAUCCGACAGCUAAGCGUUGAAAAAUGUUGGAUGACUCUGUCAGCAUAGCAGAAAACUACACACGAUUUAAAAACCAA